GCGGAAGAUCGUAAAAAUUGAAAAAUCGAGAAAUGAGUACGUUCCUGAAGUUCUCACUCGUAGAAGUUUAAAGAAAACCAGAUCAAGAUUAAAUCAGCUGGACAACUCCAAAGAAUCAAUGGAAGAAAACGUAGCACCUGCCAAAAAAACAGGUACGAAACACGUGGAGUGAAACUACCGAGUUUUGCUGUCAGAAACAAGCCAAGGCAGAAAUGUGAGGAUGAGCUAAUGGUUGUUGGUACUCCUAGUCAAAAUAAACUUCCAUUACCCAUUAAACGUGGCCGGAAAUCACACAGACGAACCGAGAACCGAGAUAAACUUGUAAAAUCGCUCAUCAUCAUUCAAACGAUAAAAAGAUAUUAGCAAUCAAGAGUACAUAGUUCCUAGCAAUCCUUACAGGUGGUCUGUUGAGGACCUGUAUGAUUAUAUCUCAGAAACUCCUGAUUGUCAUAUGCUUGCUCUCUUUUGAAAAGUCAAGUAAGUAACACUCCAUUUUUAUUGUUCCUUCUCACGGUGGUUUGUACCACAAGCAUAUUACAAGUCGGAACUCUGUUUCUUACCAAGUUCUUGCUAUAAUUAAAAUUGUCUUUGUUUAGCAAUUAAUUGAUAUCAACGUAAUCUCAGGAUCACGGGACAUGCCCAUUCGAAAGUGGUCACAAUUAAAUUUUUCAGCUCGUAAACAGCCUGACUCUGAAGGGGAAAAGGGAACAAAAAAGAAUAAACUGACUGGAGCCAAUGGUUUUUAAUACUUGAAAUAUACGUGUAAGACAUGUGGUAUCAUAUUAUAGAUACAUACAUAAGAGUCGCUCUCACAGCGCUCUCCGGUGCUCUGCGACGCCUAAACGCAACAAAACUCGGUCCUCCCACAGAUCAUCAGGGAGUUGGCACUCCCGCAUCUCAUCCAUAACCCCCUGUCGCCAACCUUUCACCGGGCAUCCCCUUUGUCUCCUCCCAGGAGGAACCCAAUCAAGCAUCUUUUUUGGCAGCCUCUCUUCCGUCAUCCUAUUGACAUGACCGUACCAGACAAGCUGUUUGGUCAUGACGUCGAACACGAUGAUUAUAGAUAUGCUCCAUUAUACUAAAAUGAUACUACAUCAACUCAGUUUGCUCUGGGACGGAGCAGAUGUACCAAGUUAAGCGGGUUACCAGUUAAGACUGGUUUUGUCAUUUUCCGAUCCCAUUUUCGAAUUUGAUGCCUCAAUUUCGACGAGUAAUUAUCCAUGUCGGUACAUAUUGCAAACACCUAUAAAAUUUAGAAGUGUUUUUCAUAAGGUAUUGAUUUUAAACGAAGUUGCAGAAACUGUGCAUUUCAUCGAAAGGUGCCCUCAAGUGACAAAUUCUGUUAGUUUUGUCAUUUUACGGACUUGUAAACGAUUGCUAAAAACCUGAGUUAAUUAAUGAUUUUAGCCCCCCCCCCCUCCCACUCUAUGAGACCCUUAUUAACUGGGCACCCAGGCUACAUUGUAACUUGAUUGAUAGGUGCAGAGACUUCCUGAAAGUUCCUGCUAGAAACUCAUGCCAGCACUCUAUGGCUGUUAUGCCAAUCCGCCCUACUAAUUACAGGGUUGCUACAGGUCCAUAAUCAUAAUGUAUUCCCAUAUUUUCAUUCAGUCCUAUAAUUAUAUGAUAUCGUCAAAUUUUUGCUUCAUCAUUUGAUUUUCAGGUCAAAAUAAGAAUCAUUUUUUUCCUUUUCAAAUUAUAGCUUAUUUUAUAAACAUCACAUCAAAUUAUCGCCUUUAAAGUAAUCAAAUCUAUAUCGCUAAUGACAAUAGAUUGCUCAUAUUGGUUAUUAUUUUUAUUUUUGAAUCAUUACUUCCAAGC
rnacentral:lncRNA from 1 species